CGAUAUAAUAAUUACAAAAUCAUCCUUUUUGUUAUUACACUGCAAGUCCACUACACUAUAUUUGGGGGGGGGGGGGGUUCACUCCACCACACAAACACAAAAUGUUACAUUGUAACCCUUAUAUAACAAUGCUAUUGCGAUUCCAUUUGGUCAUAUCUUUGCACAUCAGGAUUUUUUGCCACUGUGGGGAUUUAAAAGAAGAAAAAUCUGAUCUUUUUUUCCCCAUCAGCUAAAAAUUAUGUGAAUGGAUGAGGACAACUAAUGUAAACAGUCCUAUUCUCCAUGCUUUUCUCAGUUUAACAUGAAACAAAGAUGCCUCACCAUUGUGCUAAAGACAUUUUCAGUGGGAAGUGCCCACUGAGUUAACAGAGUUUCGUGUCACAGUGCGUCAUCAGCAGGUUGUAUCAGAGACACUGUGUGACUGGAAGAGUCACUGAAAAGCAUUGGACAUUUUACACCUGUUGUGAAUUUUGAUUUUACACUUCUUGUUGGAGAACAGGAAACAUUGAAUAGUUGGCCCUCGUAUGUUCAACAGUUUAGAGAAUGUCAAAUUAAUUUUACUUAUAAAGGUUGUAGUGAAUUCAUUUUGUUUUUAGAAUUAAAAAGAAAUAGGUUCUUUCUGAAAUUUCACCAGAAAGGCAAAUAUCCCAGAGUUUUAGAGGGUUGUAAAUACCUCCCCUAAAUACAAAGCCCCUACAAAGCCGCCGCUCCCUGAUGAUUCAACCUUGAUGAGCUGGAGCAAUGUCGUCCAUCAAGAUGAAAUUAGGCCCAUGUUCAUUAAGGGGCACAAUCACUGGAUUAACAAUGUUAUUCAGGUAGUAUGGGCUUGUCACUGGACCAUUCACAAAAUGUAGGGCAGUGCUUGACCGACUGGACUCACCUGCCCACAUUGUAACAUCGCCACCACCAAAAGCACGUCUGGUGACAACAGUGGCUGAUGCACAGCACUCUCAUUGAAUUGUCCAACAUUGUUGGCGGCCAUCAUUUCUGCUCGCCGUGAAUCGACUUUCAUCAGAAAACAACACUGAGGUUCACUGGUCCGUCAUCCAGCGUAAAUGCUCCCUAGCCCAUGCAAAACGAUGAUGCCUGUUCCUGGUGGUGUGGACAGGCACUCUUGCAGGUCGUAUAGCACGCAGAUCACGCCAAUGUAAACUGUUUCAAAUGGUCUGACGUGACACUUGGGUGCCUCUCACCUCCCUUAAACGUGCCUUGAGUGGAGUAGCAUUUGUCUUUUUGUUGUUCACAAUGUAGUAGUCAUCAGCAUGGGAUGUGGCCAAAGGACAUCUACUUCUACAUCGUUCAGUGACUCUUCCAGUCUCUCUGUAUCUCUGUUGCAACCUGCUGAUGACACGCUGUAACACUCUAGGUUGAGUAGCCACGUCAGAAUCAUUAUUGGCCAAGUAUGUAGAACACACAAGGAAUUUGUCUCCAGUAUAACACGCCGCAUUAGUAUCGUUAUAAACAAGGACAUGACAGAUAAGUCUGGAAAAAUUAAGUAUGGAAGGACAUUUUGUAAUGUAAGUGAACCGUAGUGCGGUGGUACCACUGACAACUGUGAGACAAUGUGCAAAGUAUCAUGCAGAGCUAAAGUGAUCAGUGGUAGAAUAUAAUACUAUAACAGUUUUACAGUUGGUGCAAAAAAUCAUUGAUCCAUUUUAAAGUGACCAGUCGCAGUAUUUGUAGGACAAGAAGUGUGCAAUUGUGCAGAUGUCCUUGAGCGCUUUAAAGUGUCUGGUGCUGUGGACUAUACGUCAGUGACUGUUUAGGGAGUUAACGGUUAGAGGGAAAAAGCUGUUUAAGUGUCUGCAGGAUUUGGUGCGCAUGGAUCGUCUGAGAAUGUCUUGUUUGAAGCAUCACAACGUCAAAGUACUGGUGAUCCAUUGUUGUUAAAAUGUGAACAGCGUGAUGAGGAUGACUGUUUAAUACAUCAGCUCGAAUUAAACCUGGUCGAAUUAAACAUUGGUCAAUAUAAGGAUUAAAUGCCUGUUGUGAAUUUUGCCGUUUGGCUCCUAGUUAGAGAACAGCAAC